AUGCUUUAUUUGACAUUGUUAACAGUUGCUCUUGUUCUAUAGGCUUGUACUAUUGUAUCUUUGAGUUCUAAGGAGACAGGAAACCAAGUCUGGUUAAUGAAGUAUGUCUAUGUGUCCAAAGCGUGAUUAAAAGCUACCUUUGGUCCCUACUGGCCAUGGAGCUGUAGAGGAUCGUUCUCAAUUCUAGAAGUGCUCUUUGCUCAGGCU
rnacentral:snoRNA from 1 species